rnacentral:rRNA from 1 species
AUUGAACGCUGGCGGCAUGCCUUACACAUGCAAGUCGAACGGCAGCGGGGGAGAAGCUUGCUUUUCCUGCCGGCGAGUGGCGAACGGGUGAGUAAUACAUCGGAACGUGCCCUGUAGUGGGGGAUAACUAGUCGAAAGAUUAGCUAAUACCGCAUACGACCUGAGGGUGAAAGUGGGGGACCGCAAGGCCUCAUGCUAUAGGAGCGGCCGAUGUCUGAUUAGCUAGUUGGUGGGGUAAAGGCCUACCAAGGCGACGAUCAGUAGCUGGUCUGAGAGGACGAUCAGCCGAACGGGGACGGAGACACGGCCCAGACUCCUACGGGAGGCAGCAGUGGGGAAUUUUGGACAUUGGGCGAAAGCCUGAUCCAGCAAUGCCGCGUGUGUGAAGAAGGCCUUCGGGUUGUAAAGCACUUUUGUCCGGAAAGAAAUGGCUCUGGUUAAUACCUGGGGUCGAUGACGGUACCGGAAGAAUAAGGACCGGCUAACUACGUGCCAGCCGCCGCGGUAA